rnacentral:rRNA from 1 species
UAGCCGUAAACGAUACUCGCUAGGUGUCGGCCACGGUGCGACCGUUGUCGGUGCCGUAGGGAAGCCGUGAAGCGAGCCACCUGGGAAGUACGGCCGCAAGGCUGAAACUUAAAGGAAUUGGCGGGGGAGCACAACAACGGGUGGAGCUUGCGGUUUAAUUGGAUUCAACGCCGGACAACUCACCAGGAGCGACGGUUACAUGAAGGCCAGGCUGAUGACCUUGCCUGAUUUCCGAGAGGUGGUGCAUGGCGUAGACGUCU